rnacentral:lncRNA from 1 species
UUCAAACACGAAAAAAAAAAAUAUAUAUCUUCUCACACCGUACGAAGAUGAUAAAUUAUACGUCUUCAUCCAGAAUAUUAACCUAAUUGCAUAAAUCAAGCUAAUUAUCCUAUUUUUGAUUAAUUAUGUUUUUAUAAUUUGUAUUUUUAGACUCCUUUCCUCUUAAAGUUUGCAUUGUUUUCCGUACAGUUUGGAGUGUUUUAUUAAUACCAGUACCAAAAAUAAGGCACGUGUCAGAAUAUAAUCCUAGUAAAGCAGCAUGAACCAAUUUUUAAUGUCAGUUAUCUCUCUCCUUUUUUAUAUUUUCUCCUCUCUUUCUCUCUUUCUCUCUCUCUUUAUCUCAAAGUUUUCCACGUAGAAUUAAUUUGUCAAGAUUAUUUUGACCUUUAUCCAUUAUUUAUUUUGAUCAGACAAAACAAAUGUAAAAUCCCGAAACGUCGUGUUGUAACAGAACGAUCAUUCAUUGUCAAAUAAAACGGGAUAAUGAUCCAUUAAGAUAAUUAUGCUCGUAUCAAGGGAUAAUUGGUAUUAAAUAUUUAUCUGCAGAACAAUAGAAUGUAUACAUGUGUAGAAACAGUUUAGAUCUUUCGAAAGCGGAUUAGUUCAUUAGUUUUUUUUUUUUUUUUCUUCUGGGCGACGUGGCCAGAUUUCGUUAGACGUUAACCAGAUGCACCUGGCUUACGUGGCCAGGUUUGUUACCGUAAUAACAGCAUCUCUUCGAGAAAUUUAUGCAAUCAAGUGCAGUGACAGAAGAUCGAAAAAGGAGGUCAAAGGAAAAGUUCGGUCUCGACAAAUCAAUAUAGACAUAAAACGUGGUCGCCCAGAGACAAACGUGAACGCGUGUAAAGUUUUGGGGGCGAAUUCUUUCAAGGUUAAAGUCAACGAUCAUUCGUGGAAUUGUUAAUAGUUCUGCCCCAUUUGCGUAUCAAUCGGUUCAUCUCGCAGUAGUAUAUUUUGUAUCGAUUGGAUUCGAAUACUUCUGAAAGUAACAAUCUCGUACGUGAGGUCCACAUGGAACUUUGAAUUCGUCGAUUCGUCGUGCAGAACGAGUGAAUUAAAUAUUCCAAAAGACGAACUUUAACCAACAUCCAGGUUUGUUUUCCUGCAAAUUCUUCAGUUGUUCCACCACGUGACCUGUACCACGUGGUUACCGGGCUGGUUGGUUAGUCCGUCCAGCCAGCCGCGCCAUAUACACAGUGUUGUCGGUUGUCUUAACUCAUGUUAGUUAUUGUGCUUUCCCACUGAUGGACGUGAGUACAACUUCGUUAUGGAUAAGCCCAGACUACGACGGACAGGAACUUUAAGGAGAUCGUCUUUUUAUAACCGUAAGUAGCUGUUUGCUGUUAGUUUAUUAAUAAAUCCGAGGCCGAGUUUAUCGGUCGCUGCCAUUGAUCAACUGACAUGGUAACGUCCUUCCCAUCUUGUUUUCCCUCCUCGUCGCCUCUACACUCGUUUAGAUAUGUUAAAAAGUUUUUAAAACCUCGUCGCAUACAAUGCAUACCAAAAUAAACUCCGAAACAAACAGGAUGUAAUCGGGUUGACUAACCAAAUUGCAGGUUUUUUUUUAUUAUUAUUAUUUUAUAAUGCUCAUCUUUUUUACGCUUAUCGCGUUUUAACGUCUCUCUGUAUU